CAGAACGGUGGCAGUUUUGAUGGCAAUGACGUGGGAUCCCAGAGCUUCAACAACAAUGGCAACAAUGCCUAUGGUGCUGAAGGAAAUGGUGGCAGCUUCGAUGACAACACUGCUGGGGACAACAGCUUCAACAACAA